rnacentral:rRNA from 1 species
UGGGGAAUAUUGGACAAUGGGGGCAACCCUGAUCCAGCAAUGCCGCGUGGGUGAUGAAGGCCUUCGGGUUGUAAAGCCCUUUCGGCGGGGAAGAUGAUGACGGUACCCGCAGAAGAAGCCCCGGCUAACUUCGUGCCAGCAGCCGCGGUAAUACGAAGGGGGCUAGCGUUGUUCGGAAUUACUGGGCGUAAAGGGCGCGUAGGCUGUGCUGUAAGUCAGGCGUGAAAGGCCCGGGCUCAACCUGGGAACUGCGCUUGAUACUGCGGCGCUGGAAGGCGGGAGAGGAUGGCGGAAUUCCCAGUGUAGAGGUGAAAUUCGUAGAUAUUGGGAAGAACACCGGUGGCGAAGGCGGCCAUCUGGCCCGCAAUUGACGCUGAGGCGCGAAAGCGUGGGGAGCAAACAGG